AGUCGAGCGAGACCUUCGGGUCUAGCGGCGGACGGGUUAGUAACGCGUGGGAAUAUACCCUUCACUACGGAAUAGCCUCGGGAAACUGGGAGUAAUACCGUAUACGCCCUUUUGGGGAAAGAUUUAUCGGUGAAGGAUUAGCCCGCGUCUGAUUAGAUAGUUGGUGGGGUAAUGGCCUACCAAGUCUACGAUCAGUAGCUGGUUUGAGAGGAUGAUCAGCAACACUGGGACUGAGACACGGCCCAGACUCCUACGGGAGGCAGCAGUGGGGAAUCUUAGACAAUGGGCGCAAGCCUGAUCUAGCCAUGCCGCGUGAGUGACGAAGGCCUUAGGGUCGUAAAGCUCUUUCGCCAGAGAUGAUAAUGACAGUAUCUGGUAAAGAAACCCCGGCUAACUCCGUGCCAGCAGCCGCGGUAAUACGGAGGGGGUUAGCGUUGUUCGGAAUUACUGGGCGUAAAGCGCACGUAGGCGGAUUGGAAAGUAUGGGGUGAAAUCCCAGGGCUCAACCCUGGAACUGCCUUGUAAACUCCCAGUCUAGAGUUCGAGAGAGGUGAGUGGAAUUCCAAGUGUAGAGGUGAAAUUCGUAGAUAUUUGGAGGAACACCAGUGGCGAAGGCGGCUCACUGGCUCGAUACUGACGCUGAGGUGCGAAAGUGUGGGGAGCAAACAGGAUUAGAUACCCUGGUAGUCCACCCCGUAAACAAUGAAUGCCACACGCCGGGGGGCUUGCCCUUUGGUGUCCCCCCUUAACGGAUUAAGCAUUCCGCCUGGGGAGUACGGGCCCCAGAUUUAAACCUCACAGGAAAUUGACGGGGGCCCCCCCCA
rnacentral:rRNA from 1 species